UCAGUUUCCACUCUCCCGCUUGGAUCGCUGAUUGACGGUUAGUGAGGGGCUGGUCAGUGACAGGAAGGAGAAUCCUUUUCUGAUAACGUUUCCAGGAAUUGUGGACGUAGAGGAGAAACUAAAUUGGCAAGGAGUGGUUGUGAUUGGGGAAGCUAGAGUUAAUGAAACGCUGACAAAAUUACUGGAAUUUUCGAUGGGAGCUAUGCAUGCAUGCAAUGCAGAGAUCUUGGAAUGAUGAACUAACAUGAAAAGAACAUUGGAGAACUAGAAGAACUUUUUGAUGAAGCCUUAUCUUCUGCGUCUAAAGACAAUUGUCAAUCCAUCACUGACAAUGAAUCAGAAAGUGCCACGAAUGUUAAGGAUUGCUUUAUGCUGUAUCAAGUAUAAUACUUAUUUUUUAAAAUAAAUUUUGCUUUCGACAAAAA